GCCUUGCUGAAUUAUUCACCCUUGUCUUUUGCGUACUUCUUGUUUCCUUGGUGGGUUCGCCCACCACUAGGACAAACAUAAACCUUUUGUAAUUGCAAUCAGCGUCAGUAACAAAUUAAUAAUUACAACUUUCAACAACGGAUCUCUUGGUUCUGGCAUCGAUGAAGAACGCAGCGAAAUGCGAUAAGUAGUGUGAAUUGCAGAAUUCAGUGAAUCAUCGAAUCUUUGAACGCACAUUGCGCCCUUUGGUAUUCCAAAGGGCAUGCCUGUUCGAGCGUCAUUUGUACCCUCAAGCUUUGCUUGGUGUUGGGCGUCUUGUCUCUAGCUUUGCUGGAGACUCGCCUUAAAGUAAUUGGCAGCCGGCCUACUGGUUUCGGAGCGCAGCACAAGUCGCACUCUCUAUCAGCAAAGGUCUAGCAUCCAUUAAGCCUUUUUUUCAACUUUUGACCUCGGAUCAGGUAGGGAUACCCGCUGAACUUAA
rnacentral:rRNA from 1 species